rnacentral:rRNA from 1 species
GAUGAACGCUGGCGGCGUGCCUAAUACAUGCAAGUCGAGCGAACAGACGAGGAGCUUGCUCCUCUGACGUUAUCGGCGGACGGGAGCGUAACACGUGGUUAACCUAACUAUACGACUGGGAUAACAUCGGGAAACCGUAGCUACUACCGGAUAAUAUAUUGACCCGCAAUGUUCACUAGUUAAAUUCGGUUUUUGUGUCACUUAUAGAUUGAUCCGGCUCCCAUUAGUUAGUUGGUAGGGUAACGGCUUAGCAACGCAACGAUGGGUACCCGACCUGAGAGGGUGGUCGGCUACCCUGGAACUGAGACAGGGUCCAGACUCCUGCAGGAGGAAGCAGUAGGGAAUCUUCCGCGAGGGGGCAAUGCGUGACGUUGCAACGCGGGCGGAGGGAUGAAGCACCUCGGAUCGGAAAACUCUGUUAGUAGGAGAGAAGAAAUGUGUAAUUACCUAUGCUCGUCUUGACGGUACCUAAACAGAAAGCCACGGCUAACUACGUG